rnacentral:rRNA from 1 species
CCUACGGGCCGCACCAGUGGGGAAUAUUGCACAAUGGGCGCAAGCCUGAUGCAGCCAUGCCGCGUGUAUGAAGAAGGCCUUCGGGUUGUAAAGUACUUUCAGCGGGGAGGAAGGUGUUGUGGUUAAUAACCGCAGCAAUUGACGUUACCCGCAGAAGAAGCACCGGCUAACUCCGUGCCGGCAGCCGCGGCAAUACGGAGGGUGCAAGCGUUAAUCGGAAUUACUGGGCGUAGAGCGCACGCAGGCGGUCUGUCAAGUCGGAUGUGAAAUCCUCGGGCUCAACCUGGGAACUGCAUUCGAAACUGGCAGGCUAGAGUCUUGUAGAGGGGGGUAGAAUUCCAGGUGUAGCGGUGUAAUGCGUAGAGAUCUGGAGGAAUACCGGUGGCGAAGGCGGCCCCCUGGACAAAGACUGACGCUCAGGUGCGAAAGCGUGGGGAGCAAACAGGAUUAGAUACCCGCGUAGUC